AUUGAACGCUGGCGGCAGGCCUAACACAUGCAAGUCGAACGAGUGGCGGACGGGUGAGUAAUGUCUGGGAAACUGCCUGAUGGAUGGGGAUAACUACUGGAAACGGUAUCUCAUACCGCAUACCAUCGGAUGUCCCCAGAUGGGAUUAGCUAGUAGGGGGGGUAAAGGAUCACCUAGGCGACGAUCCCUAGCUGGGCUGCGAGGAUGACCCGCAAAACUGGAACUGAGACAAGGGCCAGACUCCUACGGGAGGGCGAAGUGGGGAAUAGUGCACAAUGGGCGCAAGCCUGAUGCAGCCAUGCCGCGGGUAUGAAGAAGGCCUUCGGGUUGUAAAGUACUUUCAGGGGGGAGGCGUUACCCGCAGAAGAAGCACCGGCUAACUCCGUGACAGCGGCCGCGGUAAUUC
rnacentral:rRNA from 1 species